AGUUGAUCCUGGCUCAGAACGAACGCUGGUAGCGUGGAUUAGGCAUGCAAGUCGAACGGGAUCCGGCCGGUAGCAAUAUUGGCCGGUGAGAGUGGCGGAAGGGCGAGGAACACGUGAACAACCUGUCCAUCAGGUGGGGAAAACCGUUGGAAACGACGGCUAAUACCGAAUGUGGCGUCAAGGCACAUGCCGUGAACGCUAAAGGGGGCCCGCAAGGGCUCUCCCUGAACGAAGGGUUCGCGCACCAUCAGCUUGUUGGCGGGUAACGGCCCACCAAGGCUUACGGUUAGCUGGUCUGAGAGGAUGACCAGCCGCACUGGGACUGAGAUACUGCCCAGACUCCUACGGGAGGCUGCAGUCGAGGAUCAUUUGCAAUGGGCGAAAGCCUGACAAUGCGACGCUGCGUGGAGGAUGAAGGCCUUCGGGUUGUAAACUCCUGUCAUAAGGGAAAAGGAGAGGAUACCCAAUACGUAUCCGAUUUGAUGGUACCUUAAGAGGAAGGGACGGCUAACUCUGUGCCAGCCGCUGC
rnacentral:rRNA from 1 species